rnacentral:rRNA from 1 species
AGUGAACGCUGGCGGUAGGCCUAACACAUGCAAGUCGAACGGCAGCACAGUAAGAGCUUGCUCUUACGGGUGGCGAGUGGCGGACGGGUGAGGAAUACAUCGGAAUCUACUUUUUGUGGGGGAUAACGUAGGGAAACUUACGCUAAUACCGCAUACGACCUACGGGUGAAAGCAGGGGAUCUUCGGACCUUGCGCGAUUGAAUGAGCCGAUGUCGGAUUAGCUAGUUGGCGGGGUAAAGGCCCACCAAGGCGACGAUCCGUAGCUGGUCUGAGAGGAUGAUCAGCCACACUGGAACUGAGACACGGUCCAGACUCCUACGGGAGGCAGCAGUGGGGAAUAUUGGACAAUGGGCGCAAGCCUGAUCCAGCCAUACCGCGUGGGUGAAGAAGGCCUUCGGGUUGUAAAGCCCUUUUGUUGGGAAAGAAAAGCAGCAGGUUAAUACCCCGCUGUUCUGACGGUACCCAAAGAGUAAGCACCGGCUAACUUCGUG